rnacentral:lncRNA from 1 species
AUGUGCUUUGUCUCUGCUGUUCCAGCCAAGGAUUGUGCCAAGAACAACAGAAAGUUCUGUGAUUUUCAAAUCUGUUGUUGUUCAAUAAUUGAUAGUUUUGCUGCCACCACGAGGACACCUUCAGAAACAAUGACUACAUGGCGGAGGAACAAGAAAAUACAGUGCAUGAAUAGCUGGCAAGAAAUUAACAGCAGAUACCUAACAAAGAACUGGAACUAAGCUGUACAACACAAAUUGCUGGAAACUACCAUAAAGACCUUUUACUGAAAUACACUCGUCAAGGACACCUGGUGUCACAAAGGAGGACCUGUAUGGAAAGUUUUCCUAAUAGUUUAUUGAAUGCUAGGUAAUCGUAUUAGUGUUUGAUAUUCCUAAGUAAAGAGGAGGAAACUAUAUUGACUGUUUGGGAAGGUGUGUUUCCCUUGCCUGUGUAAUAUAGUUGUGGUACUAAAAAUGUGAAAGCUGCAGUCCUGUAAACGGACUUUGUCCUAAGAUGCACAGAAUUAUGAUAUUUGUCAGAAAUAAUAUGCUUCUCUUUCUGCCAUGACAAAUAGCUAAAUUAAUAAAUAUCAGUCAAAAUUUCA